AUUUGAAUUUCAGAUAAACAAGCAUAACUUUUAGUAUAAGUACAUCCCAAGUGCUUCAUGGGAUGUAUUAUCCUAAAAAAAUUAUUUGUUUAUCUGAAAUUCAAAUUUAACUGGGUGUCCUGUAUUUUUCUCUGCUAAGACCGGCUACCCUACUUUCAUUUUCCUUUCACUCUUCUUGGCUCUUUUGGGCCUUUUAGGAAUUUGGGAUGAUUCAGGCUCUGACAGGCAUGGUACUAGAUUUAUUUUAGGCUGCUCUUUUGCUGUUGUCCAACAGGCCAAGGAGAGAUUUAAAUGAUUUAUCCAAUAUUUGCUAAAUAGUCAUGUGUUUCAUUUAUCCCAUAUAUAGUUCAGCCUUAAUAUUGUUUUUGUUUUGAUUUGUUACACUAGUGCAUACAUAGAGACGUGAAGCCAGAAAAUAUCCUCAUCACGAAACAUUCCGUGAUUAAGCUUUGUGACUUUGGAUUUGCUCGGCUUUUGACUGGACCGAGUGACUACUAUACAGACUACGUGGCUACCAGGUGGUACCGCUCCCCUGAGCUGCUGGUGGGGGACACGCAGUACGGCCCCCCGGUGGAUGUUUGGGCAAUUGGCUGUGUCUUUGCUGAGCUGCUGUCAGGAGUGCCUCUGUGGCCAGGAAAAUCGGAUGUGGAUCAGCUGUAUCUGAUUAGGAAGA
rnacentral:lncRNA from 1 species